rnacentral:rRNA from 1 species
AAUGAACGCUGGCGGCGUGCCUUACACAUGCAAGUCGAGCGAGGCGGCCCGCAAGGGUCAGUCGAGCGGCGGACGGGUGAGUAACGCGUGGAUAACCUGCCCAGAGGUGGGGGAUAACCCGGGGAAACUCGGGCUAAUACCGCAUGAUACCGAGAGGUCAAAGGGGGCUCGCAAGAGCUCUCGCCAUUGGAGGGGUCCGCGUCCGAUUAGCUAGUUGGUAGGGUAAUGGCCUACCAAGGCGACGAUCGGUAGCCGGCCUGAGAGGGUGAUCGGCCACACUGGAACUGAGACACGGUCCAGACUCCUACGGGAGGCAGCAGUGGGGAAUUUUGCGCAAUGGGCUAACGCCUGACGCAGCAACGCCGCGUGGAGGAUGAAGGUCUUUGGAUUGUAAACCCCUUUCGGGAGGGAAGAUGGAACGAGCAAUCGUUCGGACGUACCUCCAGAAGCAGCCACGGCUAACUUCGUGCCAGCAGCCGCAGUAAU